UGUGAGCUCGAUGAGUAGGGCGGGACACGUGGUAUCCUGUCUGAAUAUGGGGGGACCAUCCUCCAAGGCUAAAUACUCCUGACUGACCGAUAGUGAACCAGUACCGUGAGGGAAAGGCGAAAAGAACCCCGGCGAGGGGAGUGAAAAAGAACCUGAAACCGUGUACGUACAAGCAGUGGGAGCACGCUUAGGCGUGUGACUGCGUACCUUUUGUAUAAUGGGUCAGCGACUUAUAUUCUGUAGCAAGGUUAACCGAAUAGGGGAGCCGAAGGGAAACCGAGUCUUAACUGGGCGUUAAGUUGCAGGGUAUAGACCCGAAACCCGGUGAUCUAGCCAUGGGCAGGUUGAAGGUUGGAUAACACUAACUGGAGGACCGAACCGACUAAUGUUGAAAAAUUAGCGGAUGACUUGUGGCUGGGGGUGAAAGGCCAAUCAAACCGGGAGAUAGCUGGUUCUCCCCGAAAGCUAUUUAGGUAGCGCCUCGUGAAUUCAUCUCCGGGGGUAGAGCACUGUUUCGGCAAGGGGGUCAUCCCGACUUACCAACCCGAUGCAAACUGCGAAUACCGGAGAAUGUUAUCACGGGAGACACACGGCGGGUGCUAACGUCCGUCGUGAAGAGGGAAACAACCCAGACCGCCAGCUAAGGUCCCAAAGUCAUGGUUAAGUGGGAAACGAUGUGGGAAGGCCCAGACAGCCAGGAUGUUGGCUUAGAAGCAGCCAUCAUUUAAAGAAAGCGUAAUAGCUCACUGGUCGAGUCGGCCUGCGCGGAAGAUGUAACGGGGCUAAACCAUGCACCGAAGCUGCGGCAGCGACGCUUAUGCGUUGUUGGGUAGGGGAGCGUUCUGUAAGCCUGUGAAGGUGUGCUGUGAGGCAUGCUGGAGGUAUCAGAAGUGCGAAUGCUGACAUAAGUAACGAUAAAGCGGGUGAAAAGCCCGCUCGCCGGAAGACCAAGGGUUCCUGUCCAACGUUAAUCGGGGCAGGGUGAGUCGACCCCUAAGGCGAGGCCGAAAGGCGUAGUCGAUGGGAAACAGGUUAAUAUUCCUGUACUUGGUGUUACUGCGAAGGGGGGACGGAGAAGGCUAUGUUGGCCGGGCGACGGUUGUCCCGGUUUAAGCGUGUAGGCUGGUUUUCCAGGCAAAUCCGGAAAAUCAAGGCUGAGGCGUGAUGACGAGGCACUACGGUGCUGAAGCAACAAAUGCCCUGCUUCCAGGAAAAGCCUCUAAGCAUCAGGUAACAUCAAAUCGUACCCCAAACCGACACAGGUGGUCAGGUAGAGAAUACCAAGGCGCUUGAGAGAACUCGGGUGAAGGAACUAGGCAAAAUGGUGCCGUAACUUCGGGAGAAGGCACGCUGAUAUGUAGGUGAAGCGACUUGCUCGUGGAGCUGAAAUCAGUCGAAGAUACCAGCUGGCUGCAACUGUUUAUUAAAAACACAGCACUGUGCAAACACGAAAGUGGACGUAUACGGUGUGACGCCUGCCCGGUGCCGGAAGGUUAAUUGAUGGGGUCAGCGCAAGCGAAGCUCUUGAUCGAAGCCCCGGUAAACGGCGGCCGUAACUAUAACGGUCCUAAGGUAGCGAAAUUCCUUGUCGGGUAAGUUCCGACCUGCACGAAUGGCGUAAUGAUGGCCAGGCUGUCUCCACCCGAGACUCAGUGAAAUUGAACUCGCUGUGAAGAUGCAGUGUACCCGCGGCAAGACGGAAAGACCCCGUGAACCUUUACUAUAGCUUGACACUGAACAUUGAGCCUUGAUGUGUAGGAUAGGUGGGAGGCUUUGAAGUGUGGACGCCAGUCUGCAUGGAGCCGACCUUGAAAUACCACCCUUUAAUGUUUGAUGUUCUAACGUUGACCCGUGAUCCGGGUUGCGGACAGUGUCUGGUGGGUAGUUUGACUGGGGCGGUCUCCUCCUAAAGAGUAACGGAGGAGCACGAAGGUUGGCUAAUCCUGGUCGGACAUCAGGAGGUUAGUGCAAUGGCAUAAGCCAGCUUGACUGCGAGCGUGACGGCGCGAGCAGGUGCGAAAGCAGGUCAUAGUGAUCCGGUGGUUCUGAAUGGAAGGGCCAUCGCUCAACGGAUAAAAGGUACUCCGGGGAUAACAGGCUGAUACCGCCCAAGAGUUCAUAUCGACGGCGGUGUUUGGCACCUCGAUGUCGGCUCAUCACAUCCUGGGGCUGAAGUAGGUCCCAAGGGUAUGGCUGUUCGCCAUUUAAAGUGGUACGCGAGCUGGGUUUAGAACGUCGUGAGACAGUUCGGUCCCUAUCUGCCGUGGGCGCUGGAGAACUGAGGGGGGCUGCUCCUAGUACGAGAGGACCGGAGUGGACGCAUCACUGGUGUUCGGGUUGUCAUGCCAAUGGCACUGCCCGGUAGCUAAAUGCGGANCGGAUGGAGCUGAAAUCAGUCGAAGAUACCAGCUGGCUGCAACUGUUUAUUAAAAACACAGCACUGUGCAAACACGAAAGUGGACGUAUACGGUGUGACGCCUGCCCGGUGCCGGAAGGUUAAUUGAUGGGGUUAGCCGCAAGGCGAAGCUCUUGAUCGAAGCCCCGGUAAACGGCGGCCGUAACUAU
rnacentral:rRNA from 1 species